rnacentral:lncRNA from 1 species
GAAGAUUUCAUGACUAUACAAAGGGAAGAUAUAUCCGGUGUGGCAGAGGAAGAUAAUGAACAGAUUCACACGAAAACAACAACAACAACAACAACAACAACAACAACAACAACAACAACAACAACAACAACAACCUAGUAUAAUCCCACUUAGUGGGGUUUGGAGAGGGUAGUGUGUACGCCUACCCUGGGAUAGAGAGACUGUUUCCAAAUAGACCUCCAACAUCCUUCCCUCCAAGAACUUCCCACCUUGCUCUUGGGGAGACUCGAACUCACAACCUCGGUUAAAAAUAGGAGUUGCUUACCAUCAGAGCAACCCCUCUUGUCUCAAUGAUCUCUAUAUGCCUAUCGGUUGGAAGUGGAGGUUGCUUACCAUCAGAGCAACCCCUCUUAUCCCAGAUUCACACGAAAACCUUGAGGGAAAACAGAAGGAAGUGUUGAUUAUUCGCAAAUUUGCGAAUAAUCAACACAAGAUGCACAACCAUCUAUUUGUAUUUCCAAACUGUCGAAGCAUCCCAUAUUUGCACACAAAGUGGGAUGAACGGAGCAAGGAAAUCCGAAGAAGAAUUCGACUAUUUUGCCAGAAAGAGAGAGAAAGAGACAGAGAAAGAGCAAGAGAUUGAAAAUGAAAGAGAAAGUGGGGUGGAGAGAAAGUCUGAAAAAGAAUUUGGGAAUGGAAAAGUUUUCUCUGCAUAAAGAAAAAGAGUGGGGGCGGCGAGGGUUAAUCAGUGAAAAAAGAAUUUCAACAGUAUAAAACUAGG